CCCUUAGAUGUCCGGGGCCGCACGCGCGCUACACUGAAGGAAUCAGCGUGGCUUUCUCCCUGACCCGAAAGGGUUGGGAAACCCGUUGAAUCUCCUUCGUGAUAGGGAUUGGGGCUUGAAAUUGUUCCCCAUGAACGAGGAAUUCCCAGUAAGCGCGAGUCAUAAGCUCGCGUUGAUUACGUCCCUGCCCUUUGUACGCACCGCCCGUCGCUACUACCGAUUGAAUGGCUUAGUGAGCCUUUGGGAUUGGCAGCCAACACCGGCAACGGUAGCUGGCCGCCGAAAACUUAUGCAAACUUGGUCAUUUAGAGGAAGUAAAAGUCGUAACA
rnacentral:rRNA from 1 species